rnacentral:rRNA from 1 species
CGGACGGGUGAGUAAUGUCUGGGAAACUGCCUGAUGGAGGGGGAUAACUACUGGAAACGGUAGCUAAUACCGCAUAAUGUCGCAAGACCAAAGUGGGGGACCUUCGGGCCUCAUGCCAUCAGAUGUGCCCAGAUGGGAUUAGCUAGUAGGUGGGGUAACGGCUCACCUAGGCGACGAUCCCUAGCUGGUCUGAGAGGAUGACCAGCCACACUGGAACUGAGACACGGUCCAGACUCCUACGGGAGGCAGCAGUGGGGAAUAUUGCACAAUGGGCGCAAGCCUGAUGCAGCCAUGCCGCGUGUGUGAAGAAGGCCUUCGGGUUGUAAAGCACUUUCAGCGGGGAGGAAGGCGUUAAGGUUAAUAACCUUGUCGAUUGACGUUACCCGCAGAAGAAGCACCGGCUAACUCCGUGCCAGCAGCCGCGGUAAUACGGAGGGUGCAAGCGUU